rnacentral:lncRNA from 1 species
UUGCUCCUUUUCCUGUUUUCCUCUCUGGCUGACUAUAAUUCGUAGAUGACAACGGGGAGCAGCUGUAAGAUGUCCUUGGCCGUGGAAGUCAGACUCUGAGGCUGGCAGGAGACAAAGAGGAGCCUGGGUCACUGCUAGGUGAG